AAGCGCUUGAAGUUAGACGUGCUAGUCAGGAUUCAGCCUUGCUUCUGCUUGGUGUAUUUCCUGGUUGGCAGGCCAGCAUCAGUUUUGCCUGUCGGAUAAGGGUAGGAGGAAUGUAGCCCCCUCGGGGGUGUUAUAGCCUCUUACUGGAUACGAUGGGUGGGACUGAGGACCGCAGUGCGCCUUUAUGGCGGGCCUUUUGGCACCUUCGCACUUAGGAUGCUGGCGUAAUGGCUUUAAGCGA
rnacentral:rRNA from 1 species